GAUGAACGCUGGCGGCGUGCUUAACACAUGCAAGUCGAACGGAGAAAGGGUAGCUUGCUAUCUUUUCUUAGUGGCGGACGGGUGAGUAACGCGUGGGUAACCUGCCCUUUGCAGGGGGAUAACAGUGAGAAAUCACUGCUAAUACCGCAUACCAACUUCUUUCGCAUGAAAGAAGUUUGAAAGAUUUAUCGGCAAAGGAUGGACCCGCGUUGGAUUAGCUAGUUGGUGAGAUAACAGCCCACCAAGGCAACGAUCCAUAGCCGGCCUGAGAGGGUGAACGGCCACACUGGGACUGAGACACGGCCCAGACUCCUACGGGAGGCAGCAGUGGGGAAUAUUGCACAAUGGGCGAAAGCCUGAUGCAGCGACGCCGCGUGAAGGAUGAAGGUUUUCGGAUUGUAAACUCCUGUCUUCAGGGACGAUAAUGACGGUACCUGAGGAGGAAGCACCGGCUAACUACGUG
rnacentral:rRNA from 1 species